CAAAAACUUCAGCCUGCUUUGAGAAAAAAAACAGUCUUGUUUUCUCUUCGCUGUCGUUCUCGCAAGUAGGUGCGAUGGGAUGCGUAAUUGGUUCAACUGGUCAAGUCAUGAGUGGCAACCGAUUGAUCAUAUGAAGUUCCGCAGUAGUGAAGUUGCAGGCUGAAAGAUAUCGCGAGGACAGCGUAUUGCUUGGUAAAGAGGACCAAUGAUGCGCGUUGAGAAAUUGCGGAUGGAAAGAUAUCCAAUAAUUAUGAGAAAAUGCGCUGUUGUCAGAGGGUCUGCGCAGCCCAUCUGUAAGUGUAGGAGAUCGAGCAAGUGGAAAUCGUACCGAAUCCGAUAGAGGUUUCGACACUUUCUUGUGCACAAUUGUAACUUUAGUUAGGUGUUUCUAGUAGAUAGUCGCUGUUUUCGCUCAGUGCACAAUUUUAACCAGCGUUAGUGGGUUAAAGACCAAGGACGGAUUAAAACCUGGCGCCAGUUAUGCGAGAGAUAUCUUCUCCGCUGGAGGAACGACUGAAGGCUCUCGUUCGGUGCUCUGCGCCGGGCGAGGUCAAGCAAAACAAUUUCAUUAUUCAAAAGAAUGCAAAGCCGAGGUCUGUUUCUAAGCAGGAGAAACAACGUGCUGCCACUGCAUCUAGACGCAGACCUGCACCCGAUGCAGCGGUGGAGCCAAUUCGAAGGCCUUAUUACCGGCGUCGAAGUCGGCCGUCUGGGGGCAUUCUGUGCCCCCGCCGAUCAACGAAGACGUGGACUGUUAAUAUACGCCCUCGUGCGUGGGGAAACAGUGACAAAAUCUGGUUCGGGAAGAUCCCCACCGAAGAAGAUGCCAAGUGCGUCGCUGAUCUGGUGUUUCAUUACAUUGGGCAGGAGUGUGUCCACAAAAAAUUCCCUGCAACUGAUCAGCUACCGCCAUUCCUCAACGAUAAGCUUCGGGGGCUUCGAACUAAGGAGGACCGUAUGAGGUACGUCCUCCGAAUCUCGAAGGACGCCCACAAUCUGGCUGAACGCAAAGCCUUCAUCCAAUCAGUGAAGGAAAAUGUUGAGUUUGUGAAGUUUGUGAAGGUAAGCAGUUAUGAGGUACCUUCCCCGACUUCUGGACCAAUGGAAAAAAAUUGUGGUCCAGCUCUGUGCUCAGAGCUCCCUGAGCUGCACGAAGGUAUGGAACAAGCUUCAACCCAAAUUCUAAUGCAAGGUCGUUUCGUCUCAGCAUCAGUUCAUGGAUGCAACCGUUCGUUUGCUUCACAUCUUCUUAAAUACCUUGAUACUUCCACCCCUGUCAGCGCUAACUACGUAAAUGUUUAGCGUGUCAAAAAGACUAAUUCCGGAUAGCUUGGAUAGAGCACCAGGUUGGAAUUCAAUUCUGGACCUGGCAUGCAUGAAGGGAUUCUACCAUGCUCUCCUGAGAGAUCAAGUGCAGUUCACUUGAGUUUUCAAAAUUCUACAUGAUUGUGUUCAAACCGUAUCACUAAAGUAACAUAAAUGACAAUCAGAUGAUGUCGAACAAAUGAUGGUGUUCGCAUUUCCAGACUGUUAUGAGUGAACGACUUGCGAAAUACAUCAGAAGGACAGGUAUUUGGUGGAUAGUAUGAAAAUAACAUCGUGUUUUUUUGUAAACUUUGGUCUCAAGGGCUGCUGUGAGCAACCAGGAGUUCGUUUUCGAAGCGUUUGUGUUAAUAAUGUGCACUCUCUACAAAUAAAACAGAUGCAUACUUGCAACAACAGACUUUGGCACUCACAAAGGCUGUUGACAGAUGCACUUGUGGAAAGCAGAUAUGUUUAUGUAAAAUGUCUAAUCUAAGAUCUUCGCGUUCCAAUAUAAUCUACGAUUGGGAAGGCUCGUGGAUCUAGUUAAGUUGUUCUUGGCCGCGGCGGCUGCCCUCUGUAUGUUCAAACCCCAUGAAUAAACAUGUACAAUAUUUGUGACA